AUUGAACGCUGGCGGCAUGCCUAACACAUGCAAGUCGAACGGCAGCAUGAGGGAGGGUAACCUUUCUUGAUGGCGAGUGGCGGACGGGUGAGUAAUAUGUAGGAAUCUACCUAGAGGUGCGGGAUAACUUAGGGAAACUUAAGCUAAUACCACAUAAGCCCUACGGGGGGAAGCAGGGGAUCUUCGGACCCUGCGCCUUAUGAUGAGCCUACAUCGGAUUAGCUUGUUGGUGGGGUAAAGGCCUACCAAGGCGACGAUCCGUAGCUGGUCUGAGAGGAUGAUCAGCCACACUGGGACUGAGACACGGCCCAGACUCCUACGGGAGGCAGCAGUGGGGAAUAUUGGACAAUGGGCGAAAGCCUGAUCCAGCAAUGCCGCGUGUGUGAAGAAGGCCUUAGGGUUGUAAAGCACUUUCAGUGGGGAGGAAGUUGUGUGUGCUAAUAUCAUAUGCAAUUGACGUUACCCACAGAAGAAGCACCGGCUAACUCUGUGCCAGCCGCCGCCGUAA
rnacentral:rRNA from 1 species